rnacentral:tRNA from 1 species
GGGGUCGUGGCUCAGCGUAGAGCGCUCGCCUGGUACGUGAGAGGCCCUGGGUUCCAUCCUCAGCACCCCA